rnacentral:rRNA from 1 species
AACGCGAAGAACCUUACCUACCCUUGACAUACAGUAUGAGCAUUUAGAGAUAGAUGUGCACCGAGAGGUGGACUGAUACAGGUGCUGCAUGGCUGUCGUCAGCUCGUGUCGUGAGAUGUUGGGUUAAGUCCCGCAACGAGCGCAACCCUUAUUGCCAGUUGCCACCGGGUUAUGCCGAGCACUCUGGCGAAACCGCACAGGAUAACUGUGAGGAAGGUGGGGAUGACGUCAAGUCCUCAUGGCCUUUAUGUCCAGGGCUACACACGUGCUACAAUGGUCGGUACAAACCGUCGCAAACCCGCGAGGGGGAGCUAAUCGGAAAAAGCCGGCCUCAGUUCGGAUUGGAGUCUGCAACCCGACUCCAUGAAGCUGGAAUCGCUAGUAAUCGCGGAUCAGAACGCCGCGGUGAAUACGUUCCCGGGCCUUGUCACACGAGUAA